UACGUAGGGGGCGAGCGUUGUCCGGAAUUAUUGGGCGUAAAGAGCUCGUAGGCGGUUUGUUGCGUCGGCUGUGAAAUCCCGAGGCUCAACCUCGGGUCUGCAGUCGAUACGAGCAAACUAGAGUGUUGCAGGGGAGACUGGAAUUCCUGGUGUAGCGGUGAAAUGCGCAGAUAUCAGGAGGAACACCGGUGGCGAAGGCGGGUCUCUGGGCAACAACUGACGCUGAGGAGCGAAAGCGUGGGGAGCGAACAGG
rnacentral:rRNA from 1 species